rnacentral:rRNA from 1 species
GGCGGUAGGUGAACCUGCGGAAGGAUCAUUG